AUGAGUCUGUCUCAUGGAAAAGAAUGCCAUGAUGAGUUGGUGAGACUGACAAGGAAGCUGCAUGGGAGAGUGGCAGCACCAUGGUCACAACCUCCAUUUCUGAAAACGGUUACUCUAUUGUUUGACAGCAUAACAUCCUGCAAAAUGAUGUUAGUCAAGGUAAAACGUGACAACUUAAAACUAAGAAACUCUUCUGAAAGACGGGGAAGUAAAAUUAAUGUGACCAGAGAGACAGGAAGACAUUCAGCCAAUGCAUCGCACAUCACAGGGACAACCUCCCCGUGACCACUUUCGGGCAAGUUCGUGCUUGUGUGUGCUUCCCUGCUCAAGCCAGGUGUUUCCUACACUGGGAAGGCUUCCUUGGUGGCCCUUUUCAAUGUAAAUGUUCCUUGUCCUUUGUCACCAGCUGCUAUGUGUGUAUAACGUGCAUUUUAUAGACACUAUCCCUCACGUUUCUGUCUGAACAUCCACCCCGAUGCUCGACUGUAAGCAUCUUGAGGACUCGAAUAAUGUGUCAUCCCAUUUCCUAUAGAAGAUGCUUAACAAAUGUUUGUUGAAUAGAACACUUUGGGAGACACUGGGUACCAUUUAGACUCCCUCAGAAAGGGCCAGGACAAAUUCCAUCGAAUUCCAUCCCCACUUGACAUUCCCAGAGUACAGUCAUUUGCAGUUCUUGCAAUACCUCAUGUUGAUCUCUUUUCCUGGAAAACUCAUCUCCUAUUAAUUGCCUAGUGAAGUCCUACUAAUCUUCUUUCAGAGCCCAAUUACACCUUCCAGGACACCCUUGUCACUGUCAGCCCAGACCUCAAACCAUCAUCAAACCCUCAGACACGAAAGUUAAUCAUCCCUCUUCUGUACAAACUCUGUCUUAUUUAUAUUUACGAUUGCUAUUUUAUUUUAUUUUAUUUUAUUAUUUUUUGCACUGACCACACACUCUGGUUCUCAUGUGUUUAUCUCUACGUCUCACGUCCUAGACUGUGCGCUUCUUGAGGGAAAAACCAGUCUUGAGGCUCAGUCGGUGGAGCGUCUGCCUUCAGCUCAGGUCAUGAUCCCGGGGUCCUGGGGUCAAGCCCUGCAUCUGGCUCCCUCUGCUCAGCAGGGGACCUGCCUCUCCCUCUCCCUCUCCCUCUGCCUGCCGCUCCCCCUGCCUGUGCUCUUUCUCUCUGUCAAAUAAAUAACUAAAGUCUUAGAAAAGAAAAGAAAAG
rnacentral:lncRNA from 12 species